GGAAGAAUCCUGCACUUGUAGGACACGCGUAUUCUUGGGGAAUUAACACACAUUAUGAGAUGUUAUUGCUUGAGAAUACACGUAGCUAACAAGGGAGGAAAC
rnacentral:pre_miRNA from 1 species